GACGAACGCUGGCGGCGUGCCUAAUACAUGCAAGUAGAACGCUGAAGGAGGAGCUUGCUUCUCCGGAUGAGUUGCGAACGGGUGAGUAACGCGUAGGUAACCUGCCUGGUAGCGGGGGAUAACUAUUGGAAACGAUAGCUAAUACCGCAUAAGAGUAGAUGUCGCAUGACAUUUGCUUAAAAGGUGCAACUGCACCACUACUAGAUGGACCUGCGUUGUAUUAGCUAGUUGGUGAGGUAACGGCUCAACAAGGCAACGAUACAUAGGCGACCUGAGAGGGUGAACGGCCACACUGGGACUGGGACACGGGCCAGGCUCCUUCGGGGGGCAGCAGGAGGGAAUCUUCGGCAAUGGACGGAAGGCUGGACGAGCAACGCCGCGUGGGGGAAGAAGGUUUUCGGAUCGUAAAGCUCUGUUGUAAGAGAAGAACGAGUGUGAGAGUGAAAAGUGCACACUGUGACGGUAUCUAACCAGAAAGGGACGGCUAACUACGUG
rnacentral:rRNA from 1 species